UGACAUUCAUCAUUGGGUGUUUGUACCUUCACAUAAUCUAACUUGGUUCUUAUUUUUAAGGCCUUAUUUCUCCAACUCUACCAGCCCCUAGGCCAGUGACAGGCCCCCCAGCUCUCCCCAAACCAGCUAGAGACAGCUAUCCGGUCAUUGCCCACCUAUUUCCCACCAGCUGCAAACUUCUUAACUAAUUCCAGUGGGUAACAAAACUAGCAGCCACCAAAGGGCUGGUGCUGCACCUGCCUGGCAAGCAUAAGGUCCUGAGUUUGAUUCCCAGUACAACAAAACAAAACAAAAACCAACAAAACCAGCAGCCAUCGCUUACUCAAUGCUUACUCUUCACUGACAGAUGCAUCCUCUACCCGCUCAACAACUCUGAGAGGCAGAUACCCUUUCCUAUUCCACAGAUAAGGCAACCAAGGCUCGGCCGAGUGGCGAAUCUGAAUUUGAACCUGGGACUUUCUGGGGCCAAAGCCUGGGUGUCAGUUGAAAAAGAAAAAGUUCUCAUGAGGCAACAGGACAUUUGGAACUCCUCUGUGACCUGGCAGACUAUCGACAUUGAAUACAAACAUCUCUUCAGAAUUACGCCAACCCUGAAGAAAAAUCACUGGUACAGUGUAAUCUAGAACAAAUUGUAUGACGCCAAGUUGAUUCCUUGAUUAUCUAUAUGGUAUGGUUGAGUGCCUUCUGAUUAUCCCUUUUCAAUUAUCAGGGGUGAUCCUUCGCUUCCUUAAUUUUAUCUUAUUUUUGGUCUAUGCCAGAUUGUGAGGCUUUAGCCACUGCCAGUUUUAUUUUGCUAUAUUGCUAUCUACCAGAAGUGUUUGCUAAGAACUGGAUAAGAGACAGAUAGUUUGUAUUUCUUUCUUGGCACAAAGAGCAUUGGUAGGGCAAAGGUCCAGGAGCUGGUGACAUUGUUGGGUCAGAGAGUUCUGUCUUCCUAGGAUCCCCAAAGGGGACUGGACCUGGGAAUGUGCUUAAAGAUGGGCCCUGUCCCUCAGGGGGCCUGUCACGUCUUGGGUGCCGACCUCCCCACUCCACUCUCUGGAGCUGGCAGUGCUUUCCUCCUGUCUCUCCCUCCUCAAGCGCCAAAGACUCUUGCCACAGUCCUCACUGCAUUUUGAUAACUCAGUCUGCUUUUCAGUCUGCCUGCCACCAGUCCCCAGCAGUGCCACAACUCAUUCAGAGACAAGAUUGUCUCCUAGGCCCUUUUGCAUCCUCAGGGCAUCACACAGUACCUGCCUGGCACCAAUUAGGAGACCUGUAACAAUGUGUACAAUGCGUGCGUGGAUGGGUAAAAAGCAGAGUUUGACCCCCCCAAGGGCUGCAAGGCCCAGAGAGAGACAACAUGUUGGGUGUGGAAUCUAAAACCUAAACAUGGCAAUCCUAUCAGAGCUCUGCAUGUCCCCUGCCAGCACCUAAACCCAGAAAGGGAAACAAACUAUUUAAGUCCUAUCAUAGAUCUGACACUUUCCCUUAUCUCAUUUGGUCCGUAUGACAACCCUAAAGAGAAAGUAUCACCAAUGGCACACUUUACAGGUGAAAAAGUUAAAUGGAUUGUUCAUGUCGGUGUCAGAGGUAGGACCCUGUAUGGUAUGACAAAAUCCUUAUGUCAUGCUCUUUCUGGUGGGCGGUCACAUCACCUAGCCCUGAGGCUCCCACAGGCUCCUGAUGAAGGUGAUGUAAGUGAUGUGGUGAUUCCCUAGGGAGGUUUCCCCCACAAAAGCAAAGGGUACAGGUGGGGCAGGCAGGCACUGAGCUCAGAGCACAAGAAUGCAGGGAAGGCAGGCUCCUGCCCAGGCUGGCCAUUAAGAGGCCGGAAGUGAGGAUGAAGUCUGGGCUGGAGUGUAGGGAGACACCCACCUCCAAGGAAGAUCAAAGGAGUGCCCAGGUGAGAGCUGGGGUGGGUACUGGACGGGGUACACAGGGCACCCCAGGAGCACAGCAUGGCAGAAGCAGAGGCACGAGGCAGUGAGAGGAGAUAGCUUUCCAAGGUGACAACAUUAGAACAGACAAAUAAAGGCAGGGAGGCAGACACAGGGGCAAGACACACAGUGAGACAGAAA